GGAGAAUUGCUUGAACCUGGGAGGUGGAGGUUGCAGUGAGCUGAGAUCACGCCACUGCACUCCAGCCUGGGCAAUAGAG
ensembl:miRNA